AAGCUUACCGUUCUGUUUGACAGUAAGAGUCAAUUCUGUUCUUGGUUGCGCAUCUCUGGCUGCUCUGAUUAAUUUCACCACUUGAUCGUGUUCGAGACCACUGAUACUACAUCCAUUGAUCAUAAGCACCUUCAGCUUACUUGAUCUCCCUCGUUUAAUUUUGGAUAACAGCGAUCCGCCGGAGUAUUCGGUGCAACUCUUGAAACCAGAAUUGGCAUAUUCAAAUCUGACCCACCCUUGACGUUGAACCCGAAUCUACCUUGAUCAUCAGGACGCUUCCAACCUGAGGAACUGGCGUUUCGUAAUUUGGAAUAUCGUACAGACUACCCGGAGCAUGAUGACUUCUUUCGGUCAAAGAAUCGGUGGUAUCAUCAUCAACGUAACUUAUAACUGUUCUAGAUGGUAAUAUAGGCGAAAACGCAGCAAUUUUUGUUUCCUCUGAGGUACCAUUUUGACGAUCCAAAAAUCCGCCUUCACUGUAAAUUCAAAACGCAAUAUUAUACUAUUCUGCUUCAUCGAUCAAUUCGAUAAAAUAAACUAAAUUUACGCACUCGUCGGAAGGAUGCGGAGAUGAAGUUUCACCCCAAGUUUGUCGAGAAUUUUCCCAAUUUCCAAUCACUUUUUCUUGAGCUCGAGUAUUUAGACCAGAUGAAAUCAAUGACUUAGUUUUUUCUUCAAUCGUAGGCAUCACGGAAUGACGUGUACCAACUUUGGAAGUAGUUCUACGAGAGAAUAAUGUAAUACCGAUUGGUCAAUAAAAUUAGCAGGAACGAAGCACAGAAGAAUGAGUCAAAUAUACCUGAAAAAAUGACGCUGAGAUCUGCCUUGUCUGCUUUCUUCCAAUGUUUGAAAUUCCGUACGACCAGAAUAACGAAAUUUAGAACCUAACCGAAGAGCUGUGGGGAUUAAUUUUCGAAUUACAUGAGGCGAAUCUAAUCUGAAAAACGUAUGAUGUUCGACACACGACUUCCAUAGAUUUUUUGAUGAUCUGUGGAAAAUAUUACAGGCUCUCUACGUAUCUGGACGAAAAACUGUUUUCUUUUGAACGAUAUUUUAACUAUUUUGGCCCAAGAAAUCGUGUUAAUACGAAUAUUGUUUUGGAAGACGACGAGUCCAUUGGCGGUAACUCCAAGUUGAAGUUCUUUAUUGGAAGAAUCCUGAGAAAAAAUAAUACAUUCAUUAUCAUCAUUACUAGGUCAGUAAUUAUUCGUAGAAAACUCGGUAUGACUCAGAGGAUCGUGAGAAUUACGGAGCAUCAUCACUAAAUAGAAUUCAAAGAUAAAGUAUUCGUUCAUAACUUUCAGACAAUGCACGAAUAAAAUAAUAUUUUCAAACUUACUCUAGCUCUAUGUAAAUCUACUCCAUAUGUUUCUAGACGUUUCACAUGAUCGAGAAAAUUGAAUUCAGCGUCAGCGGGAGUCUGUCCUCUGUAAAAUCAAUACCAUUUCAAUAUUAUUAUGUUCGAACUGAGCAAAUGAAACACGAUCUCUACGUACUUAUGCAUUUUAUGCAAUUCUGAUAUUUUUCGCUCCAUUUCUUCUGUUUGUCCAGGAACCAAAACCAUUCCCGAGAGAUAAUUUGGUUCCAGUUCUUCUAUUUGAUAAUCUCCCAGCUCGGCUGAAAAAAUGAUAGAAUUCAACGGUAACAUGGAGAAAGAAAAAUUGAUAAUUGCAAAUCAGAAACAAUAAUAAGGAUCACUCACAUUGAACGGUGUAACUCGCUAAUAGACAUGCUGUGCUUGGAGACACUAACAAUUUACCCUGAAGAAUAUCCUUUCGUACUUGUAAGUAGAAAUGAUAUCUAGUAUAUUCUUCUUGUAAUUUACUCGGAUCAGUCACGUAAAAUUUAACUUUGAAAUAGAAACAUCCUCCUCGAGCUUGUUUUUUAACCGCUUUGUUGGGAUCCAGCCAUUUCUGUUCACGUUAAAAUAAUCAUUAACGCCCUGUAAACGAAUAAAGGAACCCACCCAAGAAAUACAACACUGCAGUACCGUGAGAUGGGUGUUAGAUAGCGACGGAGCUGAUCCAUUUUCAGUGAAUUGUAAGCCAAAGUAAUCUUUCUCAAUCAGUUCCAAAUGUUGGAAAACACAUUCGAGAAGAACGUUUCCUUUAGCAUGUUUCUGUAAAGAAAAAAUGCAAUCAAAACUUGUACUUUUUACGAAUUCCUUACCAAAUUAGAAAAAUUGAUAACUUACGUCUAACUGAAACGAAUGUUGAGUAUCAUCCAGAAACACUACAGUCACAUUUAGUGUUUUCAACCUGCCUCUAUCACGAGCCAGCUCAGAAGCUCUUACAUUAUAUGUUCCACUGGAGCCACCGAAUGUUCUACGAGAUACACUUUCUAACAUUCUACCACGAUCUUCCCCGGAUAAUCUUCAUUAGCCUAAAAAUGAUACAUUCAGAUUUAGGAUCAAAAACUUAGCAAUGAAAGAAAGAAAUGAAAAUAAAAACAAUAUAAAAAUUCAUAUCAAUCAAAACACUUGAAAAAAACGAUUGCAGCACGAAGAUCUGCCAAGCUUAAUGAGGUAAAAUCAUAAUAAAAAAGAAUGAGAUACAUGAAAAUGAUAAUUUACCUUCAAGUUCAUAUUUUGUGAUACCAAAGUGUUACAAAUUGCAUCGGAUUUUGGUGUUUGUUCGGAAGGAAAUUGACGAAAAAGAAGCUCA